rnacentral:lncRNA from 1 species
CCUCCCCCAAUUUAGUCCUCCUCCGCAGGAGGUCGGCGGGCCCGGAGGCCGGGGCGGGGGAGAGCACAGCUGGCACAACUCCUGGUUGCCAGAACCAACUCGAGGCGACCCAGAGGAAGAUGCUGCGUCAAAAGAAGAGCAAGGCAAAGAAGCGCGACCCUGGAGGCUAGCGAAAUCGCCACUGAGUCCCUGAGGAGGCGGGGAGAAGCCAAGUCGCCAGGCACCGGCGACAGCGCACGCCAACAUUCGGGAUUAUUCUCCUUUCCAAACCCCGGAGUUCCGGAGCAGGAGAAAAAAGGGGGAUGGGGGACCCACAGUCCCUUUAAACCGCCUCCCCGCUCCCCACCCCCCCGGUGUCUGCCAACCUUUUCCGAACCCCCGUGUCACAGAACUUCCUCAUCAUGGAAACUUCCACUCGGUUCGGCGCUGAGGAUGCCAAACUCCAUUUCACAAGGAGCCUGUCAACAGCUGGGCUUGGGGGUUUGAGGAACAGAGCCGCUGCGAUUGGAGGGGGCCCCCAGCCACCCAGCUCCACCACUGCCCACGCUGGGGCUCCCGGACUGCCGCCGCGCGGUGCCGGAGCACGAGGGGCACCUCCUCCCGGACCCGGGGUGCAGAAACCCGGCGGAGGCAGAUUUCCAGCCGGUGACGUGUGAUUUAUUCCAGUUUCUUGUGAACAUCCCACGGAAAGGGGUGAGGAGCCACCACCCUGGCUAACAGCAUUAACAACCCCAACUGUCAGGAAUUCGGAAACUGCUGCCUGCGCCGGAAUGCACAGUGUUUCAGGUGCUUCGAGAGAGAAAAGUCGCAGACCUCCAGGCUCCCUGGCGAGAGGGAGGGGCCUCCCGGUCAGACUCCGCGGACCUUAAAUCCCCUUGGUUCUCAGUGAUAAAUCCAUGCUUUAUUUUAUUUUUCACUCGUAAUAAGGCUAUGGCAUAUAGGACUUGGAGGUUUUGUAGCUGGAGAGAAGUCGUCCUCCCUUGCAGGGAAGUUCCUGGGCUUUGCUCCAAAGCUGCCCCGGGAUGUUUUGGUUGGUUUGGAGGAAAGCUGUGGAGUCUGCACCAGUUGUUCCAAAUAGGCGGCCCCCUGGUGGCUAACUGUGGGUGAAAACUCUGGCCACUGAGUAAAAAGCUUGGUUCUAACAGGCCACAAGGGUUGACAGCCUGGUCUUUGCAGGGGCCACGGAGCCCUGUGAACAACUUCGUAAUAAGGGGGGGAGAGUGGGAGGAACGUGAUGCCAAUCUUCCUUCACAAAGAUGUAUAAUAGGCCCUAAACCCUGAUGGAACUUUGCUUUUUUUUUUUUCUCUUCCUGAGUAUAACUUGGAGCUAAAUUCCUUCUUAAGGAAACAUCAUACAGAGAAUGAAGUAUAACAAACACUGUUGCUUCCCUUUGUUCAAAUGGCUUUGUUUUUCUGAUCUCAUUUUGCCUGGAAACUUCUGAAAUAAACAGUAAAUUACAACAUGAAAUAAAUAGCA